ACCUGGGUAGCUCAGCCGGUUGUGUGUCUGACUUCAGCUCAGGUCAUGAUCUCCUAGUGUGUGGGUUUGAGUCCCACGUCAGGCU
rnacentral:tRNA from 1 species